UACGGAGGGUGCAAGCGUUGUCCGGAUUUAUUGGGUUUAAAGGGUGCGUAGGCGGUUUUUUAAGUCAGUGGUGAAAGGGUGCAGCUUAACUGUAGCAUAGCCAUUGAUACUGGAAGACUUGAUUACAGUAGAGGUAGGCGGAAUUGAAGGUGUAGCGGUGAAAUGCAUAGAUAUCUUCAAGAACACCGAUUGCGAAGGCAGCUUACUAUGCUGAGAAUGACGCUGAGGCACGAAAGCGUGGGAUCGAACAGG
rnacentral:rRNA from 1 species